rnacentral:rRNA from 1 species
GACGAACGCUGGCGGCGUGCCUAAUGCAUGCAAGUAGAACGCUGAAGAGAGGAGCUUGCUCUUCUUGGAUGAGUUGCGAACGGGUGAGUAACGCGUAGGUAACCUGCCUGGUAGCGGGGGAUAACUAUUGGAAACGAUAGCUAAUACCGCAUAAAAUUGAUUAUUGCAUGAUAAUUAAUUGAAAGAUGCAAUUGCAUCACUACCAGAUGGACCUGCGUUGUAUUAGCUAGUUGGUGAGGUAGCGGCUCACCAAGGCGACGAUACAUAGCCGACCUGAGAGGGUGAUCGGCCACACUGGGACUGAGACACAGCCCAGACUCCUACGGGAGGCAGCAGUAGGGAAUCUUCGGCAAUGGGGGGAACCCUGACCGAGCAACGCCGCGUGAGUGAAGAAGGUUUUCGGAUCGUAAAGCUCUGUUGUAAGAGAAGAACGGGUGUGAGAGUGGAAAGUUCACACUGUGACGGUAUCUUACCAGAAAGGGACGGCUAACUACGUGCCAGCAGCCGCGGUAAUACGUAGGUCCCGAGCGUUGUCCGGAUUUAUUGGGCGUAAAGCGAGCGCAGGCGGUUAGAUAAGUCUGAAGUUAAAGGCUGUGGCUUAACCAUAGUAUGCUUUGGAAACUGUUUAACUUGAGUGCAGAAGGGGAGAGUGGAAUUCCAUGUGUAGCGGUGAAAUGCGUAGAUAUAUGGAGGAACACCGGUGGCGAAAGCGGCUCUCUGGUCUGUAACUGACGCUGAGGCUCGAAAGCGUGGGGAGCAAACAGGAUUAGAUACCCUGGUAGUCCACGCCGUAAACGAUGAGUGCUAGGUGUUAGGCCCUUUCCGGGGCUUAGUGCCGCAGCUAACGCAUUAAGCACUCCGCCUGGGGAGUACGACCGCAAGGUUGAAACUCAAAGGAAUUGACGGGGGCCCGCACAAGCGGUGGAGCAUGUGGUUUAAUUCGAAGCAACGCGAAGAACCUUACCAGGUCUUGACAUCCCUCUGACCGCUCUAGAGAUAGAGUUUUCCUUCGGGACAGAGGUGACAGGUGGUGCAUGGUUGUCGUCAGCUCGUGUCGUGAGAUGUUGGGUUAAGUCCCGCAACGAGCGCAACCCCUAUUGUUAGUUGCCAUCAUUCAGUUGGGCACUCUAGCGAGACUGCCGGUAAUAAACCGGAGGAAGGUGGGGAUGACGUCAAAUCAUCAUGCCCCUUAUGACCUGGGCUACACACGUGCUACAAUGGCUGGUACAACGAGUCGCAAGCCGGUGACGGCAAGCUAAUCUCUGAAAGCCAGUCUCAGUUCGGAUUGUAGGCUGCAACUCGCCUACAUGAAGUCGGAAUCGCUAGUAAUCGCGGAUCAGCACGCCGCGGUGAAUACGUUCCCGGGCCU